GGCUGGUUCAUUAUAAAAGACGAGAGGGGCUGGUUCGAUGGAUUUUUUGGACCGGAGAAGAGAGGGGCUGUUCGAGUGAAGGCGAGAGUGAACGAGGACAGCAGUCGGCUGUUCGAUUGAAGGGGACAGCGAGGACAGCAGGUGGCUGUUCGAUUGAAGAAGACAGAGACAGCAGGGGGCUGUUCGAUUGGAGAAGAAGGAACACACGGGAGCGAUUGAAGAAGUCGACAGUGGGUUCAAUUGGAGAAGACGGAUGCAGAGUGAAGACAGCAACUUUCCUCAUCAAUCUUCCUUAUUCUUACGGUUCAGGAAUGAGUGAUGAAGAUUUUAUUCAAUGUUUAUUUCCCUUUCCUUCGCAACUGCUGACCAAAGCAUAACAAUAAUAAAAUCAUGAUGGAGGAUGUUAACAUCUGUGUAUAUUUUUCAUUAAGCAACUCUUAAACUGGUAAGUCUUUCUCGAGUCACUUAUCUCAACGAAUGAGCAUGAGUGCAUGACAACACACCGAUGAUUUUACCAUGUAAAAAACAUGGCAAUAACCGAGAUUCUUACCCACUAAGUGAGAUAGUAGAUUUUUACUUGGCUUGUUUGUCGAGUAACAUUCUCGACUAUGAACAUGCAUGGAUUGUUUGUGAAUGUCUCUUGAUCAGUUUCAAAAGGGUAUUGGAUAUAAUUAACCAUAGUGAGUAUUAGACUAUCAUAUAUACCAAUAUACACUCGGUUCUCUAUGCUCCAUUCUCUUUUAUCACUACAACAAAAUUAAGUUUAUAUGA